ensembl:miRNA
CAGGGCCCAAGCCCAGGGCAGAGGUGCAGCUGCCUGCCACGGGCUGGGCCUUGGGA